CUGGGCUUGACAUGUAGGUCAUACCCGUGGAAACACGGGGUCAGUUCGGCUGGACCUUCACAGGUGGUGCAUGGCUGUCGUCAGCUCGUGUCGUGAGAUGUUGGGUUAAGUCCCGCAACGAGCGCAACCCCCGUCGCAUGUUGCCAGCAUUUAGUUGGGGACUCAUGCGAGACUGCCGGUGACAAACCGGAGGAAGGUGGGGAUGACGUCAAGUCAUCAUGCCCCUUCUGUCCAGGGCUACACACGUGCUACAUUGGCACGUACAGAGGGCUGCGAUACCGUGAGGUGGAGCGAAUCCCUCAAAGCGUGUCUCGGUUCGGAUUGCAGGCUGAAACCCGCCUGCAUGAAGGCGGAGUUGCUAGUAAUCGCGGAUCAGCAUUGCCGCGGUGAAUACGUUCCCGGGCCUUGUACACACCGCCCGUCACACCACGGAAGCAAGCAACACCCGAAGCCGGUGGCCUAACCCUCUGGGAGGGAGCCGUCGAAGGUGGGGCUCGUGACUGGGGUG
rnacentral:rRNA from 1 species